GGUGCUGUAGACUAAUUGGUUACAUUGGUUCCAUGGAAUACAGGAGAUGCGGGUUCGAAUCCCGCCAGCGCCC